UUCAGAGACAACAUCCUGCAUCGCUCGAGCCGCGUCAGCCACCUGGGGAAACGCCGCGGCCGCCGCCAUCUCUGUUCUUGUCGCCUUCCUUGCGCGCGGGUGCCUCGGGGGUGAUGAAGCACCGGAACAGGCUCGCGAAGAUGCGCAGCUUGAUCUGCCCGCGCCGCGGCAGGGUCCGCCUCGCCGCCUCCUGCCGCUCCAUCGCCACCGCGGGUGGCUUCUUGCUCAGGAAGGCACGGGAAUCAAGGGACUGAAGAGCCGUCUGCUGAGUGUGUUGUGUCUGAUGUCUGAUGUCAGAGUGAGUGACGGCAGGAGGCGAAGGCUUGCUCACUUUUAUAGCCGCAGAGCAGAUGAGAUGCUGGGGACAUGCGGCGAUGGGGGAGAGUGUGUGUGACAAACUUCCUUGGGGAGCAAGGAGCUCGUCUCUCAGGUUUGAAAAGGUCCCAGAAUGUAUUGUACCCCCAUCUUCUAUUCCAUUCACACAGGGAAAGAAAGUCCUGGCCACCACCGUGGACCAAUUAUCUGUUAAAACACAUCCUAAUGCCUAAGGCUUAUUAUUGUAUGAAGCCGAUGAUCUGACAUUGACCUGAA
rnacentral:misc_RNA from 1 species